CCUGCACCUGUCCUCAGGGCUGCCUCCUCCAACACCUCCUCCCUGCUUCUCUUGUCAAAGGACCUUCUGGCUUGGUUUGAACUGUCAGGUUCAAUUUCUCAAGCUAAACCUUUGAAUCUCGCUGACCCACUCUUGAAUGGUCUUUGUUCCCCAGCUAAGAACCAGCUGAUCUCAGCCCCGGCCAAAAUUUGCCUCAGGGGACUUGCCUGCCUCUAAAUCAUAGCUUCUCUACUCGGUCCCAGACCUCUCCUCCAACUCCAUCUCUCCCCAGUAAGAUACUCAUUCAGAACAAGGCAGCAUAGAAUAUAUUCUCUCUCUCUCUUUUUCUUUGUUUUGCCAGAGGUAAAGGAAAGUUCUGUGAGAGAAGGGAAGGAGGGGUGAAGACCGGUUCUGUGUUCUCCAGCUUCCAGUCACAUCUGAUGUGCCAGUGUGAUGUGAUCAAGGCCAGCCAAAACGACAACAAGGGAUGAAGGUAUGAUGAUGGCCCCCAAGGAACCUGCCCAGGCUGCUGUGGGAGCACCACAUCUUAGAAG
rnacentral:lncRNA from 1 species